CCCAACUAUCCCUAUUAAUCAUUACAACAGUCCUAGAAACCAACAAAUAGAACCAUUGUCCUAUUCCAUUAUUCCAUGCUAAUGUAUUCAAGCGUAUGCCUGCUUUGAACACUCUAAUUUUUUCACAGUAAAAGUCCUGGUUCCCCGUCACGACCCGUAAAGGCCAUGCCGCUUCGCCAGAAGGUAAAGCCCGACCACAGACAGUGCUCACCCAGAAGGCGGACCGUCCAGCCAGGCCUGAAGUUCAACUACGAGCUUUUUAACUGCAACAACUUUAAUAUACGCUAUUGGAGCUGGAAUUACCGCGGCUGCUGGCACCAGACUUGCCCUCCAA
rnacentral:misc_RNA from 2 species